GUGGGGAAUUUUGGACAAUGGGCGCAAGCCUGAUCCGGCAAUGCCGCGUGCAGGAAGAAGGCCUUCGGGUUGUAAACUGCUUUUGUACGGAACGAAAAGACUCCUUCUAAUAAAGGGGGUCCAUGACGGUACCGUAAGAAUAAGCACCGGCUAACUACGUGCCAGCAGCCGCGGUAAUACGUAGGGUGCAAGCGUUAAUCGGAAUUACUGGGCGUAAAGCGUGCGCAGGCGGUUAUAUAAGACAGAUGUGAAAUCCCCGGGCUCAACCUGGGAACUGCAUUUGUGACUGUAUAGCUAGAGUACGGUAGAGGGGGAUGGAAUUCCGCGUGUAGCAGUGAAAUGCGUAGAUAUGCGGAGGAACACCGAUGGCGAAGGCAAUCCCCUGGACCUGUACUGACGCUCAUGCACGAAAGCGUGGGGAGCAAACAGGAUUAGAAACCCUGGUAGUCC
rnacentral:rRNA from 1 species